UACGAAGGGGGCUAGCGUUGCUCGGAAUCACUGGGCGUAAAGCGCACGUAGGCGGCUUCUUAAGUCAGGGGUGAAAUCCUGGAGCUCAACUCCAGAACUGCCUUUGAUACUGAGGAGCUUGAGUCCGGGAGAGGUGAGUGGAACUGCGAGUGUAGAGGUGAAAUUCGUAGAUAUUCGCAAGAACACCAGUGGCGAAGGCGGCUCACUGGCCCGGUACGUGACGCUGAGGUGCGAAAGCGUGG
rnacentral:rRNA from 1 species